UUAAGCGACUAAGCGUACACGGUGGAUGCCCUGGCAGUCAGAGGCGAUGAAGGACGUGCUAAUCUGCGAAAAGCGUCGGUAAGGUGAUAUGAACCGUUACAGCCGGCGAUGUCCGAAUGGGGAAACCCAGUGCAAUUCGUUGCACUAUCGUUAACUGAAUACAUAGGUUAACGAGGCGAACCGGGGGAACUGAAACAUCUAAGUACCCCGAGGAAAAGAAAUCAACCGAGAUUCCCCCAGUAGCGGCGAGCGAACGGGGAGCAGCCCAGAGUCUGAAUCAGCUUGUGUGUUAGUGGAACGGUCUGGAAAGUCCGACGGUACAGGGUGAUAGUCCCGUACACCAAAAUGCACAGGUUGUGAACUCGAAGAGUAGGGCGGGACACGUGGUAUCCUGUCUGAAUAUGGGGGGACCAUCCUCCAAGGCUAAAUACUCCUGACUGACCGAUAGUGAACCAGUACCGUGAGGGAAAGGCGAAAAGAACCCCGGCGAGGGGAGUGAAAAAGAACCUGAAACCGUGUACGUACAAGCAGUGGGAGCACCUUCGGGUGUGACUGCGUACCUUUUGUAUAAUGGGUCAGCGACUUAUAUUCUGUAGCAAGGUUAACCGUAUAGGGGAGCCGCAGGGAAACCGAGUCUUAACUGGGCGUUAAGUUGCAGGGUAUAGACCCGAAACCCGGUGAUCUAGCCAUGGGCAGGUUGAAGGUUGGGUAACACUAACUGGAGGACCGAACCGACUAAUGUUGAAAAAUUAGCGGAUGACUUGUGGCUGGGGGUGAAAGGCCAAUCAAACCGGGAGAUAGCUGGUUCUCCCCGAAAGCUAUUUAGGUAGCGCCUCGUGAANNNNNNNNNNNNNNNNNNNNNNNNUCAUCUUCGGGGGUAGAGCACUGUUUCGGCUAGGGGGUCAUCCCGACUUACCAACCCGAUGCAAACUACGAAUACCGAAGAAUGUUAUCACGGGAGACACACGGCGGGUGCUAACGUCCGUCGUGAAGAGGGAAACAACCCAGACCGCCAGCUAAGGUCCCAAAGUCAUGGUUAAGUGGGAAACGAUGUGGGAAGGCACAGACAGCCAGGAUGUUGGCUUAGAAGCAGCCAUCAUUUAAAGAAAGCGUAAUAGCUCACUGGUCGAGUCGGCCUGCGCGGAAGAUGUAACGGGGCUAAACCAUGCACCGAAGCUGCGGCAGCGACACUAUGUGUUGUUGGGUAGGGGAGCGUUCUGUAAGCCUGCGAAGGUGGCCUGUGAGGGUUGCUGGAGGUAUCAGAAGUGCGAAUGCUGACAUAAGUAACGAUAAAGCGGGUGAAAAGCCCGCUCGCCGGAAGACCAAGGGUUCCUGUCCAACGUUAAUCGGGGCAGGGUGAGUCGACCCCUAAGGCGAGGCCGAAAGGCGUAGUCGAUGGGAAACAGGUUAAUAUUCCUGUACUUGGUGUUACUGCGAAGGGGGGACGGAGAAGGCUAUGUUAGCCGGGCGACGGUUGUCCCGGUUUAAGCAUGUAGGCUGAUUGUCCAGGCAAAUCCGGAUAAUCAAGGCUGAGGUGUGAUGACGAGGCACUACGGUGCUGAAGUAACAAAUGCCCUGCUUCCAGGAAAAGCCUCUAAGCAUCAGGUAACAUNAAAUCGUACCCCAAACCGACACAGGUGGUCAGGUAGAGAAUACCAAGGCGCUUGAGAGAACUCGGGUGAAGGAACUAGGCAAAAUGGUGCCGUAACUUCGGGAGAAGGCACGCUGGUGUGUAGGUGAAGCCCCUGCGGGUGGAGCUGAGACCAGUCGAAGAUACCAGCUGGCUGCAACUGUUUAUUAAAAACACAGCACUGUGCAAACACGAAAGUGGACGUAUACGGUGUGACGCCUGCCCGGUGCCGGAAGGUUAAUUGAUGGGGUUAUCCGUAAGGAGAAGCUCUUGAUCGAAGCCCCGGUAAACGGCGGCCGUAACUAUAACGGUCCUAAGGUAGCGAAAUUCCUUGUCGGGUAAGUUCCGACCUGCACGAAUGGCGUAAUGAUGGCCAGGCUGUCUCCACCCGAGACUCAGUGAAAUUGAACUCGCUGUGAAGAUGCAGUGUACCCGCGGCAAGACGGAAAGACCCCGUGAACCUUUACUAUAGCUUGACACUGAACAUUGAGCCUUGAUGUGUAGGAUAGGUGGGAGGCUUUGAAGCGUGGACGCCAGUCUGCGUGGAGCCAACCUUGAAAUACCACCCUUUAAUGUUUGAUGUUCUAACGUUGGCCCCUUACCGGGGUUGCGGACAGUGUCUGGUGGGUAGUUUGACUGGGGCGGUCUCCUCCCAAAGCGUAACGGAGGAGCACGAAGGUUAGCUAAUCCUGGUCGGACAUCAGGAGGUUAGUGCAAUGGCAUAAGCUAGCUUGACUGCGAGCGUGACGGCGCGAGCAGGUGCGAAAGCAGGUCAUAGUGAUCCGGUGGUUCUGAAUGGAAGGGCCAUCGCUCAACGGAUAAAAGGUACUCCGGGGAUAACAGGCUGAUACCGCCCAAGAGUUCAUAUCGACGGCGGUGUUUGGCACCUCGAUGUCGGCUCAUCACAUCCUGGGGCUGAAGUAGGUCCCAAGGGUAUGGCUGUUCGCCAUUUAAAGUGGUACGCGAGCUGGGUUUAGAACGUCGUGAGACAGUUCGGUCCCUAUCUGCCGUGGGCGCUGGAGAAUUGAGGGGGGCUGCUCCUAGUACGAGAGGACCGGAGUGGACGCAUCACUGGUGUUCGGGUUGUCAUGCCAAUGGCACUGCCCGGUAGCUAAAUGCGGAAGAGAUAAGUGCUGAAAGCAUCUAAGCACGAAACUUGCCCCGAGAUGAGUUCUCCCUGAGACUAUAAGUCUCCUGAAGGAACGUUGAAGACGACGACGUUGAUAGGCCGGGUGUGUAAGCGCAGCGAUGCGUUGAGCUAACCGGUACUAAUGAACCGUGAGGCUUAACCUU
rnacentral:rRNA from 1 species